rnacentral:lncRNA from 10 species
AACCCCAGAGCGGGAUACUCGGGAUCUGAGCAGAGGGGAAAGUCAUCUAAGAGGCUGCUGCUUUACAAGGUCUGGGCACAGAGCUGCCCCUCCCUUCCUCCCUGAAGUUUGCAUGAAGUGCACAUUAGGCUGUAAUUAGGGGAUUUGGGAGGAGAACUUUCCUGGUGACGCUUUGCUUUUCUUCUGCUCUUGGUGAGAAAGUGCCUCCUUCUUCCCAGGAUCAGGACCUCUGCCAUCCAGCGCCACAAAGAGACAUUCUGCACACACACUCACACACGCACACACACACACACUCUCACACUCGCCCAGAGACAAACUUAAGGUGAGGAGAAAGAGCGCUAGCUUCACUUGAUCUCCAGCUUCCAACUUAAGCAGAACUUGAGAGCAUCCGAACUCCUGGAUUUCAGGACAAGGUAAAACUUGCAAAUUGUUUCCCCCUCUUUUGGUUA